GACGAACGCUGGCGGCGUGCUUAACACAUGCAAGUCGAACGGAAAGGCCCCUUUGGGGGUACUCGAGUGGCGAACGGGUGAGUAACACGUGAGUAACCUGCCCUUGACUUCGGGAUAACUUCAGGAAACUGGGGCUAAUACCGGAUAGGAAUCCUUGCUGCAUGGUGGGGGUUGGAAAGCUUCGGCGGUUUUGGAUGGACUCGCGGCUUAUCAGCUUGUUGGUGGGGUAGUGGCUUACCAAGGCUUUGACGGGUAGCCGGCCUGAGAGGGCGACCGGCCACAUUGGGACUGAGAUACGGCCCAGACUCCUACGGGAGGCAGCAGUGGGGAAUAUUGCACAAUGGGCGGAAGCCUGAUGCAGCAACGCCGCGUGCGGGAUGACGGCCUUCGGGUUGUAAACCGCUUUCAGCAGGGGCGAAGCUUGUGGUGACGGUACCUGCAGAAGAAGCACCGGCUAACUACGUU
rnacentral:rRNA from 1 species